UUUUCAGUAAAAUCCACUCUGCAAAAUGUUUUUAAAUGAACAUAAAAGGUGUUGAAUUUUUAAAAAAUGUAAAUUCGACAAAACUUGCCCAGUGAUAAGAAAAAUGCUGUUUUCUUCUUGUUCAUUAUUGACGAGCGUCUGAUUUCUCCACCCUCUCUCCCAUUUUACUUACUCUGAGGGAAGUCCACGUCACACAGGGCCAGCUGAACCAUCAAAAGUUCUCCCUGUCUGAAGUAGAAAGAUUUGUGUUUGAGAAGCCAUGCGUCUAGAUCAUUUAGAACGUGAUGUUGCCCAAGGCGGCACAGCGCGGGGAGGAAUUGUUCUGGUUUACUGACACUGGUUUUGUUUGUAGAAUGGUAUCUGGUACAUAGAUUAUAGGAUGGAGAGUUGAAUCAUUUUUCUUCUUAGAAUUUUAACUGUUUCUCGGCUUGGCGAUUCUGAAAGGUGAUGUUUGUUUUUUUCUUUGUUUUUUUUUUCUUCUCAUAACUCAAUACCUAAUGCUGUUUUUGACUCUAACUUGUGGAGAAUGAAAUAUGCAUUAUUCUUUUUGUGUGUGUGUGUCUCCAGUCUGUGCUCUUGGUACCUUGCUUAUGUAGAUGCUUUCUUUGUGUGUGUGUGUCUCCAGUCUGUGCUCUUGGUCCCUUGCUUAUGUAGAUGGAAGUACAGUAUUUCUUUGUGUGUGUGUGUGUCUCCAGUCUGUGCUCUUGGUCCCUUGCUUAUGUAGAUGGAAGUACAGUAUUUCUUUUUGUGUGUGUGUCUCCAGUCUGUGCUCUUGGUCCCUUGCUUAUGUAGAUGGAAGUACAGUAUUUCUUUGUGUGUGUGUGUGUCUCCAGUCUGUGCUCUUGGUCCCUUGCUUAUGUAGAUGGAAGUACUGUAUUUCUUUAUGUGUGUGUGUCUCCAGUCUGUGCUCUUGGUCCCUUGCUUAUGUAGAUGGAAGUACAGUAUUUCUUUGUGUGUGUGUGUGUCUCCAGUCUGUGCUCUUGGUCCCUUGCUUAUGUAGAUGGAAGUACAGUAUUUCUUUGUGUGUGUGUGUGUGUGUCUCCAGUCUGUGCUCUUGGUCCCUUGCUUAUGUAGAUGGAAGUACAGUAUUUCUUUGUGUGUGUGUGUGUGUGUGUCCAGUCUGUGCUCUUGGUCCCUUGCUUAUGUAGAUGGAAGUACUGUAUUUCUUUUCUUUUUACCUAGACUACACCUAGGUAGGUUUUCACUUUGGUAAAUUGUUAGAAGAUGUUGCAUUCCACCAAACGCUACCCCAGUUCCGAAUGACCAAAGGCUUGUGUUGCGUUCAUUACCCAUGCGUUCAACUUGCUUCAGUCUUAUUUUUGUACAUGAAACACUCCUUUUUUUUUUUCCUUAUAAAAAUGAUUAUAGUUUAGACGUUGCUACAGUACGUGUGUGCUUGUGAUAUGUACCUGUAUGUUUGUCUUGGCACCUGUUUGUCCGUUCAGAUCCACGAUUAUGCCAUUUUUGCCGCUACUGGUACAAGUCUUUUGAGUUUGAUUGAGUUACGUUUCUGGUGAUGGAAUUAGUAAUUUUUCUCCGAAUCCCCAAGCAUGAAUUUGCCACAGCACGAAGGAAUUUGCUUUUCCUAUAUAUAUAUAUAUAUGUAUGUUCAUUUGCACCCUUGAAUAGAAUCAUUAAGAAGAAGUGGUGUAUUUAAACUGUUUCCUGCGUAAUUCAUGUGACAAUUGCUUCACCUUAUUGUAUCCGGGGCUUUGGGUGUUGUGUGGCUGUUUUUGUAAAAAAAAGGACAUGCAUGAAGCUGUGUCAGUUGUUGUCAUGCUCAAGACAGUUUGGUUGUUUACAGUACAGGGAUGGUAGCUCAAAUGUCUUGUGUAGACCGAAACCUUUAUUGCAAAAUUGUUUAUAUGAUGAGAGAAAUUUUGUUUGAAAUUUUUUAUGUGUUCGUAAAGUGGUAUGAAUUUGAAAGAUUUUGAAUUUAUUGGCUCAGUUGUCUUUUGAGGGGGUACUCCAUAUAAAAAAUGUUUUAGUUUCUAAUUUUAUCUGCGUUGAGAGUACCUUGGUGUUCAGGUGCUUUAUGUGUCGUUGAUUGUUGCUCAGUGCUAGUACUUUGUGGAGAUUAUAAGAAUAUGAACACGAGAGCUAUGUCUCUUUUGGGCAGGCAUCUAUGUACAGAGGUAAGCUCUGUGCCAUCUUGUGUAAGAUGAUAUAACCUAAUGCUUUAAAGUUUGCUGAUAAUGCCUAUUAAAUUCCUUUUAUGGAUUAUAUCAUUCUGAAAAAUCGUGCCAGGUGAAUACACUUAAUGGUGAAAUGCUGAAUUUAGCAACUAAGUAAGUGGGUCUUUUGUUGGUUCGUUCAGUGGCAGUUUUCCCUGUUAUGUUUGGUAAUUGAAUUUGACCUUGAUAGAAACUGACGUUUGGUUGAGAUUUUGCAGUAUGGAUUGAGUGAAGGUCUUUGUGAUAUCUUUGGAUUUAAAAUGCUUUUGUGAGUCUGAAGAAUUCUCAUGUGCUUUUGGAGGAGAGCUCUUUGUUCUAAGAAUAAAGUGAGGUUCCGUGUGCGAAAUGUUCUGAGAUGAACGGCAAGCUAAAUAUAUUAUUGUGUUGGAGUGUUGUUUAUAUUCUCCACCUAUGAUCUGCUCUGAUUUGUGUACAACAAUAGACGUGGAUAUCUUGGAAAGGUUUUGGAUAACUUAGUAUAAGAAGGGGGGCAACUGUGGUGCACACUGUGGCAAGGUGGUGAGUUGGAGCUUUUGUUCACCUUCUGGUCCUCAGUUUGAAUGUUCCUCAUGCACUCUCUUUGUCUCCUAGUUGUGGUGCUUUGUUUAGAGGGACGUUCUGUUCCUAAGAAACAAAAUGCAAUUUUAUUUUUAAACUCAAAGAUAUACGUGUGUGAAGUCAGUAACCUGAAAGGGUAGAUCUAUACAUGAUGUACAGUCAGUGAAGACCACAAAAGUAUGUCACCAUGGUAGAUUCUUUGUUUCUCAACUGUUAAUGGUGAAGUAUGCAAAUUUUUCUAGAUAUGUCUUUGAUGAUUAAAGGUGCUAGAUUGUCUUUAUGCAGCCUAUUUUAGCUAUUUCUCUGAUUAUUUUUUUUGUUAUAACUGAAUUUCCUUCAACAAUCAGGCAAUGGGAAUAUUUCUUACUUUGCUAUGAAAAUACCUCUGUAUGUAGCUAAAGUAUUAGUUUGCUUAUUUAAUUUGUAGAAUGAAAAUCUGGGAAACGAUACACACACGUUAUUUUCUCAUGGGUCAUCUCUUCUUAGCUUGCACUUACACCAUCGAACCCUAGCAGGUUUGUAGAUUAGAAUGGCCUUUUGUGUAUAGUCUGACAUAAUAUAGUUUGUUUGUGUGAAGAUUUGGUUGGUAAGAUAGGUGAUAUUUUAACAUAAUGAGGGACCAACUGAAAUGUGAAAGCUUGAGUCCCUUAAAGAUAUUGAUUACUCGCAACAAAUAUUAGUAUUAUUAGCAUGUGUUGUUAGACAUCUGCCAUUGGCCUUUCUGUUCUUGAAUUGUCUGUCCUUUUUGUGCUGCUGAAGAAAUCUGUUCCUAGUUCCAUCCUCAGUGUCGCUCGGCAAUAUAAAAUUGAGAGAUUCAAUAUGCUUCCGCUAUUGUUACGUUUCACAUUCAGAUCUGCCUGCACUAUUGUGGAUUCAUUUUGAAACUAAAGCAAAGAUUGUGAGAGAUGAAAGAAAGUAAAAGAAAUUCUUAGUAGAUUCUCACACCUUUCAGGAAAUAAUUAUGGGUCAUUAGUGAUUGAUUUUUGUUGUUAUUAUAAACAAGUCCGUUACACAUCCUCCUUUAUCAUUAGCCUCCCUUAUGGGUUUUGAAAUAUUUGCUUAUGGUUGAUAUUUCCCAGUGUACCAUGUGCAAGAGAGAGAUCUGAUGUGUCAUUGCGAUCCCCUCCCAGCUUUAUGAAUUUAAGUACAUUGCGUGGGUAAUUGUGAUACAUAGCCAGCCUUGUACUUGUACAGGUUCACACAUAUUUUCCUCACAUGCUUCUCAGUACAAUAACAGCCUUUGAAUGUCUGGGAACGUGGUUGACAUGUAAACUAAAGAUAUCGUUUUGAAACUAAUAAAAGUCACUCAGUGCUUUUGUGGCUCUUCA